GCCGAACACGACGUUGUCAAAACCGGGAUUUAUGGUUGUCAAGAAGUGGUUGGCAACGACGGGGGAGAUACUCUACGUCUGAAAGGCAAAUUGGCUGCAGCCUCAGGAUGCCCCGUGUCUUUGCCUGAAUCAGCUACUUUUGUUACUUUCAGGCCAAUAACACCCCAAGACGACAGGGAGUCGCAUAGCCUGGCAGAUCCAGUUUCC